UACGUAGGGGGCAAGCGUUGUCCGGAUUUAUUGGGCGCAAAGAGCGUGUAGGCGGCCAUACAGGUCCGUUGUGAAAACUCGAGGCUCAACCUCGAGACGUCGAUGGAAACCGUAUGGCUAGAGUCCGGAAGAGGAGAGUGGAAUUCCUGGUGUAGCGGUGAAAUGCGUAGAUAUCUGGAGGAACACCGGUGGCGAAGGCGGCAUCCUGGACCAAUAUUGACGCUGAGGAGCGAAAGCCAGGGGAGCAAACGGG
rnacentral:rRNA from 1 species